rnacentral:lncRNA from 1 species
UUAGCAACUGAUUUACGCCGCUUUGGAGGCGGCGGAGGAGUAGAUUGAGCUGUCUCAAUCGGUCUUUUUUCUGAAACUGAGAUCGAUGGAGAAACUGGAAUUGACUGCAGAAAAGAAAAAAAGGGAAACCAAAGGAAAACAAGUACUUGGAAUGUUAAAAAGAAAAGUUAAAAUAAAGGUAAGUACAUUACAGAAGAAGAAGGCUUGGCAUCAGAAAUGUGAUUGGAAGCUUCUUCUAUUUCUUCUUUUGAUGAUGAGGCAGGAGUGUCAACUGAAACGAGUGGAUGAAUAGUUCUACGGAAUGCCCGAAGAAGAGAAAGGUCGAGAAUACGGUCAGUAAAAUGAUC